GGCGGCAGGCCUAACACAUGCAAGUCGAACGGUAACAGGAAACAGCUUGCUGUUUCGCUGACGAGUGGCGGACGGGUGAGUAAUGUCUGGGAAACUGCCUGAUGGAGGGGGAUAACUACUGGAAACGGUAGCUAAUACCGCAUAACGUCGCAAGACCAAAGAGGGGGACCUUCGGGCCUCUUGCCAUCGGAUGUGCCCAGAUGGGAUUAGCUUGUUGGUGGGGUAACGGCUCACCAAGGCGACGAUCCCUAGCUGGUCUGAGAGGAUGACCAGCCACACUGGAACUGAGACACGGUCCAGACUCCUACGGGAGGCAGCAGGGGGGAAUAUUGCACAAUGGGCGCAAGCCUGAUGCAGCCAUGCCGCGUGUAUGAAGAAGGCCUUCGGGUUGUAAAGUACUUUCAGCGGGGAGGAAGGGAGUAAAGUUAAUACCUUUGCUCAUUGACGUUACCCGCAGAAGAAGCACCGGCUAACUCCGUGCCAGCAGCCGCGGUAAUACGGAGGGUGCAAGCGUUAAUCGGAAUUACUGGGCGUAAAGCGCACGCAGGCGGUUUGUUAAGUCAGAUGUGAAAUCCCCGGGCUCAACCUGGGAACUGCAUCUGAUACUGGCAAGCUUGAGUCUCGUAGAGGGGGGUAGAAUUCCAGGUGUAGCGGUGAAGUGCGUAGAGAUCUGGAGGAAUACCGGUGGCGAAGGCGGCCCCCUGGACGAAGACUGACGCUCAGGUGCGAAAGCGUGGGGAGCAAACAGG
rnacentral:rRNA from 1 species